AGAGUUUGAUCCUGGCUCAGAACGAACGCUGGCGGCGUGCUUAACACAUGCAAGUCGAGUGCGCGUGCCGUAGCAAUACGGUAUGGCGCACGGCGCACGGGUGCGUAACACGUGGGCAAUCUGCCCUCCGAUGGGGAAUAACUCCGGGAAACCGAAGCUAAUUCCGCAUAACAUUCCCUGGACUCAGGUUUGGGGAUUCAAAGCAGCAAUGCGUCGGAGGAGGAGCCCGCGCCCGAUUAGCUAGUUGGUGAGGUAACGGCUCACCAAGGCUAUGAUCGGUAGCUGGUCUGAGAGGAUGGCCAGCCACACUGGAACUGAGACACGGUCCAGACUCCUACGGGAGGCAGCAGUGGGGAAUCUUGCGCAAUGGGCGAAAGCCUGAUGCAGCGACGCCGCGUGGGGGAUGAAGCUUUUCGGAGUGUAAACCCCUUUCGACUGGGACGAAUGCCUCGCAAGAGGAGUGACGGUACCAGUAUAAGAAGCCCCGGCUAACUACGUGCCAGCAGCCGCGGUAAGACGUAGGGGGCCAGCGUUGUUCGGAAUUACUGGGUGUAAAGGGUUCGUAGGCGGUGUGGCAAGUCGGGAGUGAAAUCUCUGGGCUCAACCCAGAGACUGCUUCCGAAACUGCUGUGCUUGAGUGUGAGAGAGGCUCGUGGAAUUGCAGGUGUAGCGGUGAAAUGCGUAGAUAUCUGCAGGAACACCCGUGGCGAAAGCGGCGAGCUGGAUCACUACUGACGCUGAGGAACGAAAGCUAGGGGAGCAAACAGGAUUAGAUACCCCGGUAGUCC
rnacentral:rRNA from 1 species